UCGCAUGAUUGUGAGAAAACUUAUCUUAAUUAGAGGAAACAAGAGAAGUUGCUUGUCUCUCUCUCUCUCAUCUCUAUCUCUCUCCCAAUGGAUGAAAUCACUCUGUUUCCAUUCAUGAUUGAUCUCUCCUCUUUUCUCUCUUUUUUACAGCAAGGGUUUUAAAAAGAUGAAGCUUGAAACAAGUGGGUUCGAGACCUCCAUGCCUACGAUUGGCUUUGGCUCGAGCAACGAUAUGCUUGAUGGGUUUUCUAUUGUGCCCUCCUUUGAUCUUCCCAGCACCACAGAUGUGAAUUUCAUAAACUUUGAUAAAAUUCUAUUGGAUUCUUCCUCUGUAGCAAUGUGGGGUGAUCUCUUUGUUUUGGGGGUUUCAGUUUGAUGGGUUACAGAAAGAAGCUGUCAUGGUCGCUGCUGAUUCUCGUACUCUCAUCAAAGCAUGGGUUCUGAUUUGUUUCUACUCUUUGUUUGCUAGCUCUGUCUUAUGUUAUCUUUAUUGUGUUUGGUGUUUAGUUAUGAAGCGUGUGCCUGGAAAUAGCUGAUGAAGCGUUCUGUAGAUGCACAAGGGUCUUGAAGAUCCACUUGAAGUCGUUGGCCUGGAAAUAGCCGAUGAAGCUAUAUUACUAUGCUUAGAUGAGUUCAUGGUAAAUGAUGUAGCUGCUGCUCUGAUACUAAACCGUCUCUUUAGACACUUGUUUAACAAUGGCAUUGAAAGUGUAGGUUCUUGUUGCUACAUUGAACCGUGCUCCAGAUAAUCUUUAUGAAAGGGGUUUAUAGAGGGACCUAUUCCUUCCUUUUAUAGCCGCAUUAAGGGAAAGAUGUGUGGUUCGUGAAAUUGGUUCAUCUGUGGACUAUCGGAAACUGACCUUUGUGAGUAAUUCCCUUAUUCUCAGUAACUCUGUCUAGGUUUCGUUGCAAUGUGAUCAAGGUUUAGUAAAGAUGUUACCAAGAACAUACACUCUAGGAUCUGUUGUUGGACCAUUGCUGCAGAUUAAGCUUAAUGGUUGGUCGCUCUGUUUGGUUGGUGAUAUAUCUAGAAUUAUGUACUCAUUUUAUAGACAAAUUCAUUCACUCAUCAAACAAGUUAUUUCUUCUCUC